UCCGGAAAUCUUUAUUCUCUCUUUUUUUUCACUUCUAUUGCUUGAAUUAAUUGGUUCUUGUUCUGGAUAGAAGGUUGCCAUAUUUGAUCUAUACCGAGUAACAUGUUGUUGUACAUGAUAUCAGAGUAAGAUUGGAGUAUGGCAAAGUGGUGUGGGACUUCGAUUAGAUUUAUUCAGAGCGUAGUUUUUGAAGUGGUGACUUGAUUAUUGGUGGUUUUGAAGGUAAUUGUUUGGCAUAAUUCUAAAGCUUCCAGUAAUUUAUUGUGCAUGUGGGCAAACAUGUAGACUCUAUUGUGGUCGACUUUAUCAACAUCAAUAUAGCUACUUUUGAUAUCAUUUGUCUUUGUAAGUUAAACAAUACUAAUUAUCCAAUUUGGAAGUCUAUGAUCAAUCAUAUUUGAUGGGACAAGAUUUUGAAAAGUCAGAGAUGAUGCUAAUAGAUUCUCUUGAUAAUGAGAUUGCAAGAAGAAAGUAGAAUUUGAAAGUUAAAAAGAUGAUGUGGAUUCUAUAA
rnacentral:lncRNA from 1 species